AGGAUUGUUCCUGCCUGAAGAAUUCAGGCAAUGAGGGAGACAGGGAAAUGGGUUUUAAAAGAUGGUUUUAUGCCCAAUUAGCACACCAAACAUCUUUGCUUCCUGUCCUGACUUCUGAAAAAUCCAAAAUGAAUCUCCAGCGCUUUUAUUAUGAAGUGGGGAAUCGCGUUUCACACCAACUCUGGCUAUUCUGUGCCUGAACUGGGUAGGACACUGGGGUCUCAAUCAUAUGACUUCAAGUAAGCCAGAUGGGACUUUUCUCUUACCUGGGGCUUUUAGCGUCUAGCUGGCACCAGGACAAAGGUCUCUGUGGCCCAGUGAGUCAGCCUUCCUCACAGUGCACAGCCGGUAUUCCAAACAGCCCUGGAGACUUGUCCCACAGGACAGCGCGGACCAGGAAGUGUGGAGAGCCAGCGGGGACUGUGCAGGAGCAAAUCAGCCUAGGACUGACUGAGGAGAAGCUGCAGGCUCCAGCAAAGUAGAGCUUUUGUGUUGCAGGAGCAGCCUCACCACCGAAUACACGCCCCACCCUGCUGCUUUGAAAGUAGCAAGACAUGAAGAGUAUGUCCAGAUCAGCAGGUGGACUGAGCCAGCCCCAGCUCCAACUCACCCUGCGCAGCCUGUCUGCCCUCCUGCGGACUAAAGACCUUUACAAAUCUAAAGCCAGGCCCCUGACGCCCUCAGUUUUUACUCACUCUUUGCGGCCUUGGUUGCCUACAGAGGGCGCUGAGGCCAGGCACUACGGAGGCUGGCCAUUCUCCUUCAGGGUUCUCCCUAACAGAUCUGUCACCUGACUGGUUGGUUUUGCCUUCGAUGUCCCACACACAUCCACAUGAGACUCUGAGAGACGAUGGUGAGCUUUCUUAGUAAGAAGGUAGAGAGCAUUGCUACCUGUGCGUUAGACCAGCCCUGGCAGGGAAAUGGCCCUCAUCUGUGGGAAUCAGAGAUCUGACUGCCUCCAAGUAUCCUAGGCAGCCCCCACUUCAGGGUCACACCAUGGCUCCCCAGUGCCCCCCCCCCAGCCAUGAGGACAAGAUUGUAGUGUUUCGUGGAGUGCCAGCCCAUCUUCACACCUCCAGAGCCCAGAGCCCACCUGUGAGGUGGAGCACACUGGGAACCUGUUCUGGCGCUGUGUGCCAAGUGCCUGCUGUCCAAAGUAUGUUUAGUCAGCCUUAUCUCUGAUAAGUGCCUGGGAAAUAGGAGGCCAUGGACAGCCCCAGGGCUCCAUUCACAGGUGUGACAUUCAGGGCAACUCCCUGAAUGUCCUCACCACUUCAUCUUCCUUGGGAAGCUCUGGACAAACAGCAGGACAGCAGGUCAAUUGCUCACAGGCUUUGCCAAGAGAAACAAAUAUGGCCACACUUCUGUUAAUGAUGGCUCUGUGAUACGGAGGACGGAAGUUUCUCCUCUCUGCUGAUGCCACAGGAAGUUCAGGACCAGCUUUCCUCUUAAUCACUCCACCUCCCCACCCCCAACCCUGCCUGUCUACCCUUAAACAAAAAGUUCCUCCACUCUGGCAUCCCAGAGCAAAAUUCUCGGGAAAGAGUGACUGAGGCAGACCAGCAUGCGCCUGAGCCAUACAUCCAGCCACAGAUGAAAGUCACCCCAGGCAGGUGUUCAAAGACCGGUCUGUGGGUGGGACAGGACUGACAUCUGGGAGAACGAGGCUGUAUGCAGCCAUGGGGGCUGCGGGGGGGGGGACUCUAACCAGGCAAGCUCCUUCCAGGUGGGGCCAGGUCAGGCUUCCCUCCAGUACUGUGUGUGCCGCUGCAGAGGGGCAGUCUGCUACCUCCACUCUGUCUCCACUAACCACUCACAGAGAAAGGGAAGGCCAGGACAAGAUUGCUUCUGGUCUCUAAAUUCUAAAAACACAGUAUUAACAUGUAACUCACUCAGCAAAUCUAUGGUGCAUAGAAAGCGUGCCUGUAAUAUUGUCAGCGGAGUCUGUCUUCCUCGGUGCUCUGCCACACUCAGCACUUCCACCAUACCAAGUACUCCACCACACUCAGUGCUCCCACCACACUCAGUGAGUGCUCCACCACACUCAGUGCUCUCAUCACAUCUUCCAACACGUCCACAGUCGACAUACUCAGUUCAAAGACUUUGAUCACAAAUCCUGGGUUCAACCAUCACCUGACACCAGUUGUAAUUCCUGGAGUCAGGCUUGCAGAAUAUUUUUCAGAGCCACAAAAGACAAAAUCGGUACCAUUUGGGCUUCCACCAGGGAUGCUAGGAGCAAGCUGCUGCAGCAAUCCCUCUCCAUCACGUGGGUGUCUCUGUGGGAUCCUUGUUUCCCUGCUUUGACUGCUUCCCUGAAUGUUUUCUUUAAAGACACAUUGGCAUUUUGUUGCGUGUCAGUGUUGUGGCAAGAGGCCAGAGACAAAACUGUAGACACAGUCUUGAUCUCUGGCUUCGCGGACAUCUCCUCUGAUGGGGGCAGUGUUCUCGGGUCCUGUGCUGUGGCGUGCAGUUUCUUCCCACAUGCCUUACAGGUUGUGCCUGCUGAGGGAUCUGGAGUUAGUCCAGAGACCAGGUUAAAACUGAGUUAAAACUUGAGGGGUGUUCCAAGCAGCUGUGGCAAGCAGGGAGAUUCUGGACACCCCAGCCAGCCAGAAUAGUGGCAGGAGGCAGACAGGGGUCAGAUGCGAGAUGACAAAAUCAUCCAGCAGCCUGUGGCAGAAGCCUGGAGGCAGGUAAGAGUUUGCAGUAUGCAAACAGGCAGGAGGCCAAGGCUGCGUUUUCUGAUAUUGACCUCUGUCUGACUGGUUGUUUGCCUCUUAACUCACAGACAGGUUGUUUGUUUGUUUUUAAUAAAAGUCCAAUUAUUCUAUGCCUUCUAUGAUAUUUGCAUUUCCAUUUAAUAGCAUUCUUGGCCAUAUUUGGAUGUGAUAUAGGCCCACCCCUUUCUCUGCGACGCUGCAUGGUUUUUGCAUUCUAUGGAACUAACUAACAUACUUUACCUUGCGGCCAACUCUCUCCUCAUCGACAUGUCAGCAUGUGCCAUUUGUAAAGUAUGCCUGUAACUUAGACGAGGCUUACGGCCAUGGAACGAAUGGCUGAGCGAGCGCCAGUGAGAUGACUGACGAGUUGGCCUCGCUCCCAACCCACAGCACAGAAGCUCUGCUCCCCCAUGCUCCUCUACAUCUCUGCAGCUCAAUACUGCUCCUUGCAGCUCCCUAGGUUUUCCUAGGAGCUCCCCACAAUUCCCACAUGCUCUCUGCAGCUCCUAGCCCUGUUACUCAUGACUCUUGGCUGGCUGGCUGCUGGUUGGAAGACAUAGCUUAUUGUAUUAUUCCAUCCUGACCAAAUACUUUAAACGUAAAAAAAAAAAAAAAAAAAAAUUAUGACAUAAGAGAAUGGAGAGAUGUCCCCCAUUGGUGAAGUACUUGCUGUGUAAUCAUGUGGACCUGAGUUCAGAUCCCCUAAAAUCACAGAAAGAGCUUGGCACGGAAGCUAGCCUGGAAUUGAAGCACUGGGAGGCAUUCUUGGGGCUUGAUGGCCAGCUGGCCUAGCCAGUGGGCUCCGGAUUCAUCGAGAGACCCUGUCUCAAAAAAUGAUGUGGAGAGCAAUAGAUUGGGCACGGGCUGCAUAAGGAAGAUAGCUGAGCUGGCCAUGGUGCUGUUAGAAACAACCCACAAAAUGAAACUGACUUGGCAAGGCAAUUUCUUUUUGUGAAAAAAAAAAAAGUAUGCUGCAGAACCCCAACCGGGCUAGCAAGCACAUGAUGUGCAUUUGUGUGUGUGUGUGAGAGAGAGAGAGAAAGGGAGAAAAAGCACACGUGGUUUUGUUCUAAUUCAGAUAGCGGCUGUGGUCCUACCCCUCAGUCUUUCACAGCUGUUAGUUUCAAAUGAAUGAUACAGAAGAAAUGAAGGGAAGUUGGAAGGGACUGCUGUAGGCCACCAAGAUCUGGGAAGACAGUGGGGCCUUUAUAGAAACAAAUAUCAGCCAGGCGCGGUGGCACACACCUAUAAUCCCAGCACUCUGGGAGGCAGAGGCAGGCAAAUCUCUGUGAGUUAGAGGCCAGCCUGGUCUACAAAUCGAGUCCAGGACAGCCAAGGCAACACAGGGAAAUCCUGUCUUGAAAGAUCAAGAGAGAGACAGAGCCAGAGAUCUAAAAAAUAAAUAUGCCCUUAACCUGUAAGCCCCACUUGCCCUAGGACAGAGAACUUCCUAGAAUUCUAGGGGUGGCUGCUGUUCAUGUUUGAUAACAACCCAUGUGUUUUCACUUCCAUAAACAAGUUUGGUUGCCCCAACUUGCAGGAUGUGCUUGAUCGCCCGUCAGUGGGAGGUGCAUAGGUAGGAAGAACAGCAGGAAGUAUGUUUGCCCCCACUGGAAAAGGGGAAGAAAUAUACAGCUUUCCGGGUUUUGCCUUCAUAAGCACAUGACUAACAUACUUUGUGGACAUUCUUGGAAUUACAGAUAUGGACUUGACCUGUUUCUUAUUG